GUGACCUGCGGAANGAUCAUUAUUGANNNNCCUGAUGAGUUGUUGCUGGUUCUCUCUAGGGGGAACAUYGUGCACACUUGUCAUCUUUAUAUCACCUCCUGUGCACUUUUUUUGUAGGCGAGGAUUGACCUCCGAGUCUACGUUUCUUCAUAUACCCCAAUGUAUGUUAUAGAAUGUAAUAUAAUGGGCUUUUGUUGCCUAUAAACCUUUAUACAACUUUCAGCAACGGAUCUCUUGGCUCUCGCAUCGAUGAAGAACGCAGCGAAAUGCGAUAAGUAAUGUGAAUUGCAGAAUUCAGUGAAUCAUCGAAUCUUUGAACGCACCUUGCGCUCCUUGGUAUUCCGAGGAGCAUGCCUGUUUGAGUGUCAUUAAUAUAUCAACCUCACUUGUUGAGUGCUUGGAUGUGGGGGUUGCUGGACUCUUUUCUUAAGAGGUCAGCUCCCUUGAAAUGCAUUAGCAGAACAAAUCCGUUCAUUUUGGUGUGAUACACUAUCUACGCUAAUUGACGACCAAGUUCAGCUUCUUAAUAGUCUUUAUUGACAAUUUAUUUUAUUAAUGUGACCUCAAAUCAGGUAGGACUACCCGCUGAACUUAAGCAUA
rnacentral:rRNA from 1 species